rnacentral:rRNA from 1 species
GAUGAACGCUGGCGGCGUGCCUAAUACAUGCAAGUCGAGCGAACAGACGAGGAGCUUGCUCCUCUGACGUUAGCGGCGGACGGGUGAGUAACACGUGGAUAACCUACCUAUAAGACUGGGAUAACUUUGGGAAACCGGAGCUAAUACCGGAUAAUAUAUUGAACCGCAUGGUUCAAUAGUGAAAGACGGUUUUGCUGUCACUUAUAGAUGGAUCCGCGCCGCAUUAGCUAGUUGGUAAGGUAACGGCUUACCAAGGCGACGAUGCGUAGCCGACCUGAGAGGGUGAUCGGCCACACUGGAACUGAGACACGGUCCAGACUCCUACGGGAGGCAGCAGUAGGGAAUCUUCCGCAAUGGGCGAAAGCCUAACGGAGCAACGCCGCGUGAGUGAUGAAGGUCUUCGGAUCGUAAAACUCUGUUAUUAGGGAAGAACAAAUGUGUAAGUAACUAUGCACGUCUUGACGGUACCUAAUCAGAAAGCCACGGCUAACUACGUG